rnacentral:rRNA from 1 species
GAGUAACGCGUGAGUAACCUGCCUUCAAGAGGGGGAUAACAUUCUGAAAAGAAUGCUAAUACCGCAUGACAUAUCGGAACCACAUGGUUCUGAUAUCAAAGAUUUUAUCGCUUGAAGAUGGACUCGCGUCCGAUUAGUUAGUUGGUGAGGUAACGGCUCACCAAGACCGCGAUCGGUAGCCGGACUGAGAGGUUGAACGGCCACAUUGGGACUGAGACACGGCCCAGACUCCUACGGGAGGCAGCAGUGGGGGAUAUUGCGCAAUGGGGCAACCCUGACGCAGCAACGCCGCGUGAAGGAUGAAGGUUUUCGGAUUGUAAACUUCUUUUAUUAAGGACGAAACUUGACGGUACUUAAUGAAUAAGCUCCGGCUAACUACGUGCCAGCAGCCGCGGUAAUACGUAGGGAGCAAGCGUUGUCCGGAUUUACUGGGUGUAAAGGGUGCGUAGGCGGCUUUGCAAGUCAGAUGUGAAAUCUAUGGGCUCAACCCAUAAACUGCAUUUGAAACUGUAGAGCUUGAGUGAAGUAGAGGCAGGCGGAAUUCCCCGUGUAGCGGUGAAAUGCGUAGAGAUGGGGAGGAACACCAGUGGCGAAGGCGGCCUGCUGGGCUUUAACUGACGCUGAGGCACGAAAGCGUGGGUAGCAAACAGGAUUAGAUACCCUGGUAGUCCACGCUGUAAACGAUGAUUACUAGGUGUGGGGGG